CUUGCACGCUUCGGCAACAAAGAUUAAUAAAACUGCACAUCUAUUAUAGACAGAGAGAUGUAGGGAGAAGUUGGAAUUGGAGAGAGAGAGGGUGAGGGAGGGAUGGGGUUGCUUUCCGAAGAUUUGUUUCGAAUUGUUUCUCCAGUUCUUUCUAUUUGUUUGGGAUUGUUUCUUUUUUACUGAAUUAUUUUGGUCCAUGCCACUAAAAUCUGAUUUAUGCUAUUAAUUGCUGCUUAAAUGUGACUUUUGGUAUUAAUUUUUUACCUUUCAUGUUUAUGCUGCGUUUGGAUUCCAUUCGAAUCAAAUAAUGUCGUUAAUCUUGAUAUGAAUUCUCUCUGCAACAAUAAUUAGGGACUUUAGUUUAAAUUAUCACUAAUUUGUUCUUGCUUUGGCCUUGAAUCUUGGUUAAUUUGGACUGCAGGUGGUUCUGAUAUGGAGGAGAAGCUGCAAGAGCUUAUGAUCUUGCUGCACUUAAGUACGACUGUUCUUUAACUCAUAUAAACUUUUCGUCUCCGGCUUUCUUUUGCAGUUACACCCCUGUGCUCUCACAGAGGGAAGCUCAUGGCUGACACUGUCGCUUAGGGAGGCCAAGUCUCCUGACUGGUCCAAGGGCUAGGAGGUCAACCUUGAGCAACCUGCCAAGAGGAUUUUACCGACAUGGGAAUGAAAAUUCAAUCAACCAGCAUUGAUUCUACCUAAUGUUAGAGGCAAGGAGGAUAGGGGUUGAAGUUUAAGAGAUGUGUGAGAUAGAUUUCAAGCUUAUUCAGUUGAAGAUGGAGACAACAAUGGAAUUCUGGAUGCCGAGGAGAAGAAGCCUGGCAUUAUUACAUCUUUAUUUUUGAACAAUAUAAGGAUCUUGAACCCGAAGAAGACAACAAAUGACAGGCAGCUAUGUACUGGUGAACUACAAGCAUCUGUAUUUCAUUACAAAAUCAGGUGAAAUACAGGUGUUUUUAUAUGCAAAAAAGUCAGGUAUGGUGUAAUAAUAACUUUCUCAUGCUAUUCUAUUUGAUUCUUUAAUCAAAGUUUUGUAGUUUUUAGUAGUCAAAUUUUCUCAAGACGAUUUGAGUGGGGAAAAACAAUGUCAAACAUAUGUCGUAUAUAUAAACGUUUCUUUUGGUUGUGAAGAUACACUAUGGAGCGUGUGCAUAUUUGAAUUUUCAGUUUCGUCAAGUGUAUUCAAUCUCCCAUUUCAUUAUAGAGACCUCACGUAGUACCUAAUUUAAGAUGCAUGCUUCAGUACAAUCGAAUGGAA